rnacentral:rRNA from 1 species
UACAGAGGGCUCAAGCGUUGUUCGGAUUCAUUGGGCGUAAAGGGCGCGUAGGCGGCGGGGUAAGUCGGGGGUGAAAUCUCAGAGCUCAACUCUGAAACUGCACUCGAUACUGCUCUGCUUGAGGACUGGAGAGGAGACUGGAAUUCACGGUGUAGCAGUGAAAUGCGUAGAUAUCGUAAGGAAGACCAGUGGCGAAGGCGGGUCUCUGGACAGUUCCUGACGCUGAGGCGCGAAGGCCAGGGGAGCAAACGGG